rnacentral:lncRNA from 1 species
GGUGGUGAAGGCGCGUCAGGCGGGCAAAUAUUCAGGAGACGCCCACCAUUCCGGUCUGUCACUUGGGUUGGUGCGUGCGCGUCUGCAUGUGCCUAUGUCUGUAACCAGCUGUACUACUGAAAUAGGCGCGCGUGUGCAUAUGUACCUAAGUAUUUACGUCUGUAUGUAUGUAUGUAUCAAGCGGACUAUUGCGCAGCGUUGGACAUCGGGCCCUAUGUCGGCAACACUGACUGUAAAUCGGAGGUAGAGGAGGUAAGAUGUGCGUGUGUAUGUAUGUGUGUGUGUGUGGCCCUAUUGGGAAAAGUAGGAGGGUUUGAUGGUGCAGGGUGUGCAGGAGGCAGCACGUUUGUUUGUGUGGUAUUUGUGUGGUCGCAGCCAGAUCUUGGUCGUGUAUGGUCGUUUGGUAUUACAACUUGAAAACAAUUUCCGGUUGGUUUUCCGCCUCGAAAGGGAAAGCAAAGUCCCGCGAGAAUUGAUUUAAAAAGCAAAAUUGUUUCGUCCAAUAAAGACGCACCGACUUGCCAUACACAAUGCCCUCAUCUUGCAUGGGGACUCCCAAAUAAAUAAAUACGGAUGUUGUCGUACCGCAAAUUUAAAAAUACUAUGCAGGGACCAAAAAAAUAACCCAUCACCACCACAACAACGCUGAUGCGCUACGUCUCCCCACGCCAAUCGUCGUUGUUUGCAGCCUGCAGUACGGCAGUCAAAGUAAAACCAACGGCACGGCAUAGCUGUGGGGGGGGAGUGGAGGCGGCCGACUGCCCCCGCACAUCGACAGAUGCACCAACAGCCCGGACCGACAGACAGACGGACAGACCCCCGGGAGAGGGGGCCCACCGGCGACAUGUAUCGAGAGCGCACCUCUGCCCGCCGCUCGCGAGAAUACAAUGGUAUUGUAACACCGGUAUUUGAACGGUUAACUCUGUCCUGGUAAUACUAAUACUAAAUCAUUACUUCUCCACGGCAGCCAAGGUAUUUACCUGCAGCUGCAGCUUCAGCCGCUCAAUCACCUCCCCAGCUGUCGCGCGGCUCAGUAGCGCGAUGAGCUCAUCUAGGGCGUAUUCAGGUUGGCGAGACGCCGGCGCUGACUGGUAACGGUACGGCGCCAUGUCGUACUCGCGAGUGGAUCCGUCGUACAUCUCGCCCGUCAGCUCGUCAACCAGAAUACGCAGCCACCGCUCCGGAACCACGCCCCGGAAGAGGCUCCGUAGCCAGGGCCCUGCGUCGGCCUCGACGCCCCGCGCCGCGCGACGCAGCAGUGACCGUACGUAGUCGGC